rnacentral:rRNA from 1 species
UCCGUAGGCGGGCAAUUAAGUCAGAGGUGAAAUCCCACAGCUCAACUGUGGAACUGCCUUUGAUACUGAUUGUCUUGAGUUAUAGUGAAGUAGAUAGAAUGUGUAGUGUAGCGGUGAAAUGCAUAGAUAUUACACAGAAUACCGAUUGCGAAGGCAGUCUACUAACUGUAUACUGACGCUAAUGGACGAAAGCGUGGGGAGCGAACAGGAUUAGAUACCCUGGUAGUC